UACGUAGGGGGCAAGCGUUGUCCGGAUUUAUUGGGCGUAAAGAGCGUGUAGGCGGCUAGGUAGGUCCGUUGUGAAAACUCGAGGCUCAACCUCGAGACGUCGAUGGAAACCAUCUAGCUAGAGUACGUUCGGGGCAGAGGGAAUUCCUGGUGUAGCGGUGAAAUGCGUAGAGAUCAGGAAGAACACCAGUGGCGAAGGCGCUCUGCUAGGCCGUAACUGACACUGAGGGACGAAAGCUAGGGGAGCGAAUGGG
rnacentral:rRNA from 1 species